rnacentral:rRNA from 1 species
GACGUAGGGCGCGAGCGUUGUCCGGAUUUAUUAGGGCGUAAAGAGCUCGUAGGCGGCUUGUCGCGUCGUCCGUGAAAACCUGCAGCUCAACUGCAGGCUUGCGGUCGAUACGGGCAGGCUAGAGUUCGGUAGGGGAGACUGGAAUUCCUGGUGUAGCGGUGAAAUGCGUAGAUAUCCGGAGGAACACCGGUGGCGAAGGCGGCUUCCUGGACCGACAUUGGACGCUGAGGCGCGAAAGCUAGGGGAGCAAACGGG